UUAGAGGUUGAUCCUGGCUCAGGAUGAACGCUAGCGGCGUGCCUAAUGCAUGCAAGUCGAACGGGAACCUUUGGACUCGUCUGAAGGUGAGAGUGGCGAACGGGUGAGUAACACGUUGGUGACCUGCCCCAGAGAGGGGGAUAACCAUUGGAAACGAUGGCUAAUACCCCGGAUGUCAUUACUUGUUAGAGGGUAAUGACUAAAGCUCCGGCGCUCUGGGAGGGGCCUGCGGCCCAUCAGCUAGUUGGCAGGGUAAUGGCCUACCAAGGCAAAGACGGGUAGGGGACGUGAGAGCGUGAACCCCCACACUGGUACUGACACACGGACCAGAUACCUACGGGUAGCAGCAGCAAGGAAUAUUGCCCAAUGGACGCAAGUCUGAGGCAGCAACGCCGCGUGGAGGAUGAAGGCCUUCGGGUUGUAAACUCCUUUUCUGGGGGAAGAGAAAGGACGGUACCCCAGGAAUAAGUCUCGGCUAACUACGUGCCAGCAGCCGCGGUAAAACGUAGGAGGCAAGCGUUAUCCGGAUUUACUGGGCGUAAAGCGCAUGUAGGCUGUUUCUUAAGUCGGACGUGAAAGCUCCUGGCUCAACUGGGAGAGGUCGUUCGAAACUAGGAAACUUGAGGAUGGUAGAGGAGAGUGGAAUUCCCGGUGUAGUGGUGAAAUGCGUAGAUAUCGGGAGGAACACCAGUGGCGAAGGCGGCUCUCUGGGCCAUUCCUGACGCUAAGAUGCGAAAGCUAGGGGAGAGAACGGGAUUAGAAACCCCGGUAUUCCUAGCCGUAAACGAUGUCAACUAGGUGUAGGGGGUAUCCAACCCCUCUGUGCUGUAGUAACGCAUUAAGUUGACCGCCUGGGGACUACGGCCGCAAGGCUAAAACUCAAAGGAAUUGACGGGGACCCGCACAAGCAGCGGAGCGUGUGGUUUAAUUCGAUACUACACGAAGAACCUUACCCGGGUUUGACAUCCAGGUGGUAGGGAACCGAAAGGCGACCGACCCUUCGGGGAGCCUGGACAGGUGCUGCAUGGCUGUCGUCAGCUCGUGUCGUGAGAUGUCCGGUUAAGUCCGGUAACGAGCGCAACCCUUGCUGUAUGUUAUACGUGUCAUACAGGACUGCCGGUUUAGUGCCGGAGGAAGGCGGGGAUGACGUCAAGUCAGCAUGGCCUUUAUAUCCGGGGCUACACACACGCUACAAUGGCCAGUACAACAGGUUGCAAAACCGCGAGGUGGAGCCAAUCCCCAAAACUGGUCUCAGUUCAGAUUGCAGGCUGCAACUCGCCUGCAUGAAGUCGGAGUUGCUAGUAACCGCGCGUCAGCUAUAGUGCGGUGAAUACGUUCUCGGGCCUUGCACACACCGCCCGUCACGUCAUGGAAGCUGGCAACACCUGAAGUCGGUAUCCUAACCCGCAAGGGAGGGAACUGCCAAAGGUGGGGCUGGUAACUGGGACGAAGUCGUAACAAGGUAACCAAUCACUAGU
rnacentral:rRNA from 1 species